ensembl:lncRNA
CGCAGGGUCGAAAUACAUGAAUAUAAACCAGCGAUUUGCAGACUUUUUCCUUUUCGAAGCCUUCUGCGUGCUGGAUACUGUUUGGCAUCGCAUGCGUCUUGAAGUGAGUGCUGUGUCGUUUUUGUUGCUCUCCCUCAGGAAUAAAAGGUCGUGGAAGAACAUCCAUAAAACACUGUGAUGGAACACGGGAGGAAUGCGUCAGAUGAUCAGAUCGCCCCUUCAGGGCGGUGAUGGAUGGGAAGCAUCUUUCAAGGCGA